AGUGAACGCUGGCGGUAGGCCUAACACAUGCAAGUCGAACGGAAGCACAGUAAGAGCUUGCUCUUACGGGUGGCGAGUGGCGGACGGGUGAGGAAUACAUCGGAAUCUACUUUUUCGUGGGGGAUAACGUAGGGAAACUUACGCUAAUACCGCAUACUACCUACGGGUGAAAGCAGGGGAUCUUCGGACCUUGCGCGAUUGAAUGAGCCGAUGUCGGAUUAGCUAGUUGGCGGGGUAAAGGCCCACCAAGGCGACGAUCCGUAGCUGGUCUGAGAGGAUGAUCAGCCACACUGGAACUGAGACACGGUCCACACUCCUACGGGAGGCAGCAGUGGGGAAUAUUGGACAAAGGGCGCAAGCCUGAUCCAGCCAUACCGCGUGGGUGAAGAAGGCCUUCGGGUUGUAAAGCCCUUUUGUUGGGAAAGAAAAGCAGCAGGUUAAUACCCCGCUGUUCUGACGGUACCCAAAGAAUAAGCACCGGCUAACUUCGUG
rnacentral:rRNA from 1 species